rnacentral:rRNA from 1 species
AUGGCUCAGGACGAACGCUGGCGGCGUGCCUAACACAUGCAAGUCGAGCGAGGAGAUUCCUUCGGGAUGAUCCUAGCGGCGGACGGGUGAGUAACACGUGGGCAACCUGCCUCAUAGAGAGGAAUAGCCUUCCGAAAGGGAGAUUAGUACCUCAUAACAUUGCAGUUUCGCAUGGAACAGCAAUUAAAGGAGCAAUCCGCUAUGAGAUGGGCCCGCGGCGCAUUAGCUAGUUGGUGAGGUAACGGCUCACCAAGGCGACGAUGCGUAGCCGACCUGAGAGGGUGAUCGGCCACAUUGGGACUGAGACACGGCCCAGACUCCUACGGGAGGCAGCAGGUGGGAAUAUUGCACAAUGGGGGAAACCCUGAUGCCAGCAACGCCGCGUGAGUGAUGACGGCCUUCGGGUUGUAAAGCUCUGUCUUCAGGGACGAUAAUGACGGUACCUGAGGAGGAAGCCACGGCUAACUACGUGCCAGCCGCCGC